CGAACGCUGGCGGCAGGCCUAACACAUGCAAGUCGAACGAACUCUUCGGAGUUAGUGGCGGACGGGUGAGUAACACGUGGGAACGUGCCUUUUGGUUCGGAAUAACUCAGGGAAACUUGUGCUAAUACCGAAUGUGCCCUUCGGGGGAAAGAUUUAUCGCCAUUAGAGCGGCCCGCGUCUGAUUAGCUAGUUGGUGAGGUAACGGCUCACCAAGGCGACGAUCAGUAGCUGGUCUGAGAGGAUGACCAGCCACACUGGGACUGAGACACGGCCCAGACUCCUACGGGAGGCAGCAGUGGGGAACCUUGCGCAAUGGGCGAAAGCCUGACGCAGCCAUGCCGCGUGAAUGAUGAAGGUCUUAGGAUUGUAAAAUUCUUUCACCGGGGACGAUAAUGACGGUACCCGGAGAAGAAGCCCCGGCUAACUUCGUG
rnacentral:rRNA from 1 species